ACCCCCCCCCCCCCCCACACACACACACACACACAAACAAAGAGGCGUUAGGCUGAGACGCUGAAAGUCCGGAUUUAAAGUGCAGAAAAUGAAGCCAUUGAAUCUGCCUGUCCAUGACGUACAAAGACACACUAUGAGCCAGUAUGAUCCGACCAGACCUUACAUCAGCAUUGAGGAGUUGUCGGAGAAGAAAGAGGCUGAUUGAAGCGGGACAGAUGACAUGGAUCCAUCCUUCCACAGCCAGGAGUGCACCGACCUGUGUCCCACACUUCAUAUAAGACUGGAAGCUACACUGAUCUCACAGCUACACACCACAGACGUCUACACACUGGAGAAGAGUCCCACAAAGAAGUCAUGACCCAGAGGCUGCAGAGAAACAUUUCAAGCCUCAUCUGAGUUUUUGUACAAUAUUUUUGCUGUAUGUAAAUAAAGCUUUCACUCCACA